GAAUGUGAGGGUGAACUGGCUGCGACAUCUGUCACCCUGUUGACCGCCAGGGUUGAUUCAGCUGAUCUGGCUGGCUAGGCGGGUGUCCCGUUCCUCCCCUUCCAUGUGCGUCCCUCCCUGUGUACUUGGUUGGAGAGCAUGGCCUUCCUUGAACAGAGAAAGACAGGUCUUCAGUCCAGGGUAUAGGAGUGGCUUCGCUCUCCUGCUAGAACCUCCAGACAAGCUCAGAUUUACCCUUCUUGUUUCUAUCUUUAAUAUUUAUAGCUUUUUAAAUUACUUGUAUAACAAUACAUCAUUUUGAUAGUUUAU
ensembl:misc_RNA 7SK 7SK RNA